AUACGGAGGGUGCAAGCGUUGCUCGGAAUCACUGGGCGUAAAGCGCGCGCAGGCGGCUAUUUAAGUUGGAUGUGAAAGCCUACGGCUCAACCGUAGAACUGCAUCCAAAACUAUUUAGCUAGAGUGUGGGAGAGGAAGAUGGAAUUAGUUGUGUAGGGGUAAAAUCCGUAGAGAUAACUAGGAAUACCAAAAGCGAAGGCAAUCUUCUGGAACACUACUGACGCUGAGGCGCGAAAGCGUGGGGAGCAAACAGGAUUAGAAACCCUAGUAGUCC
rnacentral:rRNA from 1 species